rnacentral:rRNA from 1 species
CCUACGGGUGGCAGCAGUGGGGAAUAUUGCACAAUGGGGGAAACCCUGAUGCAGCGACGCCGCGGGAGUGAAGAAGUAUUUCGGUAUGUAAAGCACUGUCAGCAGGGAAGAAAAUGACGGUACCUGACCAAGAAGCCCAGGCUAAAUACGUGCCAGCAGCCGAGGUAAGACGUAGGGGGCAAGCGGUAUCCGGAUUUACUGGGUGUAAAGGGAGCGUAGACGGCAGGGCAAGGCUGGAGUGAAAGGCGGGGGCUCAACCCCCGGACUGCUCUGGAAACUGCCAGGCUGGAGUGCAGGAGAGGUAAGUGGAAUUCCUAGUCUAGCGUUGAAAUGCGUAGAUAUUAGGAGGAACACCAGUGGCGAAGGCGGCUUACUGGACUGUAACUGACGUUGAGGCUCGAAAGCGUGGGGAGCAAACAGGAUUAGAUACCCCGGUAGUC